rnacentral:rRNA from 1 species
GAAGCUCAACAGCUAGCCCAGCCAAUAAAAGCAAUAAAUAACAUAAAUAACCCCUAACAUAUCUAAUUGAAUAAAACAAAUCAUUUUUUACCCUAAGUAUGGGAGACAGAAAAGGAACUGCGGAGCUAUAGAGAAAGUACCGCGAGGGAAUGCUGAAAGAGAAAAUGAAAUAAAUUAGUAAAGCCUUUAAAAGCAGAGAUUAAAACUCGUACCUUUUGCAUCAUGAUUUAGUUAGUGUAACCUAAGCAAAGCGCACUUUAGUUUAUUACCCGAAACUAGGUGAGCUACUCCAAGACAGCCUAAUCAUAAGGGCCAACCCGUCUCUGUUGCAAAAGAGUGGGAAGAGCUUUGAGUAGAGGUGAAAGAUCUACCAAACCUAGUUAUAGCUGGUUGCCUAAGACUUGAAUAGGAGUUCAGCCUUUAAGACUUCUUAAAUUUACUCAGGGAUCGAGCGCCUUGCACUUCCCCACCCAAAUAUCAAGAAGCUUAAGGAGUUAUUCAGAGGGGGUACAGCUCAUUUGAAAUAAGAUACAACUUUAGCAGCAGGAUAAAGAUCAAA